rfam:Arabis alpina cultivar Pajares chromosome 4, whole genome shotgun sequence.
GUUAAUUAGAUGAACCAUAAGGUUAUGUCUCUCCUGAACAUUGAUUUAAUCAGAUAUUAAUGCUUGUUUUCCUCUCUACAUGGACUUUCAAGUUUGGCUAUUCUGUUACAUUC